AGAGUUUGAUCAUGGCUCAGAAUGAACGCUGGCGGCAUGGAUUAGGCAUGCAAGUCGAACGAGAAAGCGCCUUCGGGCGCGAGUAAAGUGGCGCAAGGGUGAGUAACACGUGAGGAACCUGCCCCCGAGCCCGGAACAAGCCUGGGAAACCGGGUCUGAAACCGGAUGAGGCCCCCGGCCGCAUGGUCGGCGGGCCAAAUAUUCAUAGCUUGGGGAUGGCCUCGCGUCCCAUUAGCUUGUUGGCGGGGUGACGGCCCACCAAGGCGACGACGGGUAGGUGGUCUGAGAGGAUGGUCACCCACACUGGGACUGAGACACUGCCUAGACUCCUACGGGAGGCUGCAGUCGAGAAUCUUCCGCAAUGGGCGCAAAGCCUGACGGAGCGAUGCCGCGUGAGGGACGAAGGCCCUAGGGUUGUAAACCCCUGUCGUCCGGGACGAAACCAAUGACGGUACCGGGCAAGAAAGCCACGGCUAACUACGUGCCAGCCGCAGC
rnacentral:rRNA from 1 species